CACUGCCGCCCCAUACACACACAUUGCCCACAUUCACACACACACUGCAACUGUUACACACACAUACUGUCCCACACAUACACUGCAUCCCUGACAUACACUGCCCCCCCUACUCACACACUACAACCUUCACACACACACACACACACUGCUCACACACUGUCCCCCUCACACACACACACACACACACUGCACCCCUUACACAUUGCACCACUCACACACACCACUGCUCCUAUGCCCUACUACCGCCCCAUUUCCCAGCAGACCUCAGGUAAGUUGUCAAACUGUUCUUAAACGGUUUGACUACUUACUCUAGGAGGGGGUCCCGGCACUAUUGACACCAUAACCACUACACUGAGCUGUAGUAGUUUUUGUGUCUGGAUUAUUUCUUUAAAUAAUCUACAAGUGCCCCUCCCGAGAUCAG